AUGACAACCUAUGAAGCACGGAUACGGACACGGACACCGGACACGACACAGACACGCCGACACAACUAAUAAUUUGAAAAUAUCACAUUAUCUGGUGUAAUUACAAGUGUCGGUGUCAUGUCGGUAUCGGACACGACACGUGUCCGACACUGGGACACGCCUAAUCCGAGGAGUGUCCGUGCUUCAUAGAUGACAA
rnacentral:pre_miRNA from 1 species